rnacentral:rRNA from 1 species
GCUGGCAGCUAGCUCUCUGUAACUCGCAUGGUCGCCCACUGAAGCUAAGCAGGGCUGCGCUCGGUCAGUACCUGGAUGGGAGACUACAUGGGAAAGUUUGGUUGCUGCCAGAA